GACAGAGGGGGCAAGCGUUGCUCGGAAUUACUGGGCGUAAAGGGCGCGUAGGCGGGAUGGCAAGUCGGUCGUGAAAUCCUUCGGCUCAACCGGGGAACUGCGUCCGAUACUGGAUGGCUUGAGUUCGGGAGAGGGAUGCGGAAUUCCAGGUGUAGCGGUGAAAUGCGUAGAUAUCUGGAGGAACACCGGUGGCGAAGGCGGCAUCCUGGACCGACACUGACGCUGAGGAGCGAAAGCCAGGGGAGCAAACGGG
rnacentral:rRNA from 1 species